rnacentral:rRNA from 1 species
UACGGAGGGUGCAAGCGUUAUCCGGAAUCACUGGGCGUAAAGGGCGCGUAGGUGGUCUGUUAAGUCUGGCGUUAAAGACUGGGGCUCAACCCCAGCAUUGCGUUGGAUACUGGCAGGCUUGACGGUUGGAGAGGCGAGUGGAAUUACCAGUGUAGCGGUGAAAUGCGUAGAUACUGGUAGGAACACCCAUUGCGAAGGCAGCUCGCUGGACAACACGUGACGCUGAGGAGCGAAAGUGUGGGGAGCAAACCGGAUUAGAUACCCU